rnacentral:rRNA from 1 species
AGGACGAACGCUGGCGGCGUGCUUAACACAUGCAAGUCGAGCGGAAAGGCCCUUCGGGGUACUCGAGCGGCGAACGGGUGAGUAACACGUGAGUAAUCUGCCCCUAGCUCUGGGAUAGCUCCGGGAAACCGGGAUUAAUACCAGAUACGACCACUUUAGACAUCUUCUGUGGUGGAAAGAACUUCGGCUAGGGAUGAACUCGCGGCCUAUCAGCUUGUUGGUGAGGUAACGGCUCACCAAGGCGACGACGGGUAGCCGGCCUGAGAGGGCGACCGGCCACACUGGGACUGAGACACGGCCCAGACUCCUACGGGAGGCAGCAGUGGGGAAUAUUGCGCAAUGGGCGAAAGCCUGACGCAGCGACGCCGCGUGGGGAUGAAGGCCUUCGGGUUGUAAACCCCUUUCAGCAGGGACGAAGCGAAAGUGACGGUACCUGCAGAAGAAGCGCCGGCUAACUACGUGCCAGCAGCCGC